UCACCUCUAGGAGUGUACAUGUAAUUUCAUCUUCUUGAUCAUCCAGUCCUUUCAUAGACUGUUAGAGGACUGUGAGGAGCCCACAGCAGUAGCUCAGAGGUGGAGCACACUGGGACACAGAUCCAGAUUCCGCGAACAAUUACCAGCCUAGGCCCGUCCUCAGCACUCCCAUUAGGAGUUGAGUGGGUUGUUUGAGGACAACGUCUGCACCAGGAGAAUUCUCCACCCAUAAUCUACUCUGCUGGCCCUUUUACUUGGUCUAGAGAGGAACCAAUGGAAGGGAUGUUCCCACUCCAAUGAGAUGUUGACUGCUGUUAAGGUGAACACCAGGACUGCUGACGGAUGCAAGGUUUUCACAAGCUGAGCAUCACUGGGCUGGAUCAGUACUUGAAUGGGAGACUUCAAUUACUGCAAGAAGUGAUAUUCUUCAUUCUAAGGCACUACUGAACUAAUGUCCCAAACACUGUCCUGUGGGAGAAAGCUUUGCUCAGGGAGGUUUCCAUAACAUCAACCACCAUGCUAAAACAAUAAAUGAAACUUAGUCUGGUUAUGAUAUAAACGUGUUGCAUCAAGCAAAACACUAGGAGUUUAUGUGCACACAGACAUCAGCG